UGUUGUUUUUUUUUUUUUAUUAAUUUUUAAAUAUUAUACCGUUCAUAAUUUACGCCAAUACUGUGAAACCAAUCUGAUGUGUUUUGUACAUUAUCACAGUGUCAUUUUAUUGUAUGUGUGUUGUGUGUAUGUGAUUACAAUAUGUACUUUAUUACUGUUUUACAAUUAACUUAUUUGCUCUCCGGUUUAUGUUCUAUCUGUUAUAUAUACAUAAACCUAUGGGAAUAGAUAAUAAUAUUACUAUACAUCUAUGAAUGUAAGGGGUUUAUUUUCUAAUAAAAAGAAAAGAUUGGAUGUCUUUGAUUGGGCAAAG
rnacentral:lncRNA from 1 species